UACGGGGGGGGCAAGCGUUGUUCGGAAUUACUGGGCGUAAAGGGCUCGUAGGCGGCCAACUAAGUCAGACGUGAAAUCCCUCGGCUUAACCGGGGAACUGCGUCUGAUACUGGAUGGCUUGAGUUCGGGAGAGGAGCGUGGAAUUCCCAGUGUAGAGGUGAAAUUCGUAGAUAUUGGGAAGAACACCAGUGGCGAAGGCGACUACCUGGCCUGUUCUUGACGCUGAGGCGCGAAAGCUAGGGGAGCAAACGGG
rnacentral:rRNA from 1 species